rnacentral:rRNA from 1 species
UACGUAGGGGGCAAGCGUUGUUCGGAAUUACUGGGCGUAAAGGGCGCGUAGGCGGCUUUUUAAGUCAGACGUGAAAUCCCCCGGCUUAACCUGGGAACUGCGUCUGAUACUGGGAAGCUUGAGUUCGGGAGAGGGAUGUAGAAUUCCAGGUGUAGCGGUGAAAUGCGUAGAUAUCUGGAGGAAUACCGGUGGCGAAGGCGGCAUCCUGGACCGAAACUGACGCUGAGGCGCGAAAGCUAGGGGAGCAAACGGG